rnacentral:snRNA from 1 species
GUGCUUGCUUCAGCAGCAUAUACACUAAAGUUGGAAUGUCGCUGGAUUUAGAGAAGAUGAGCAGAGCCCCUGCCCAAGGGUGAUGCACAAAUCUGUGAGGCACUGCAUGUGUUU